GAUGAAGAACGCAGCGAAAUGCGAUACGUAAUGUGAAUUGCAGAAUUCAGUGAAUCAUCGAAUCUUUGAACGGAUAUUGCGCUCUCUGGUAUUCCGGAGAGCAUGCUUGUUUGAGUAUCAGUAAACACCUCAACUUCCAUAUCUUUUUUGAAAUGGGAGUUGGACUUGAGUGAUCCCAACGCUUUUCCUCACCGAAAAGUGGCGGGUUACUUGAAAUGCAGGUGCAGCUGGACUUUUCUCUGAGCUAUAAGCAUAUCUAUUUAGUCUGCCUAAAAAACAGAUUAUUACCUUUGCUGCAGCUAACAUAAAGGAGAUUAGUUCUUGUGCUGACUGAUGCAGGAUUCACAAAGACAGGCUUCGGCCGACUUUGUAAACUCGAUCUCAAAUCAAGUAAGACUACCCGCUGAACUUAAGCAUAUCAAUAAGCGGAGGA
rnacentral:misc_RNA from 1 species